rnacentral:lncRNA from 1 species
CCUUACAAUAGCUUCAUUGUUUUCUGAUUCUCUCUGCUUAGGGAAGCUGAUAUGUAUGAUUAAGAUCUCCUAACCACAGACACAGAAAUAUUGACUGGAACAUAUGCCUAGGAAACUCUUUCAUCUCAGGAGGAGGUAUCCUUCAGAGAAGCUGGAAUUUCCUAGAAGUAACAUAGUCAUCUUCCCCAGAAAGCCCCAAGGCAACAUUACCUGAUGAAUCGACCAGAAUAAAUUAUUGAAUUGUUUUGGAUUCAUGAUUUGUUAAUAGAUCCAGGUAAGACCAAAACCAGUUGAUUCCUAGAAUGGACAUUUUUUCCUUCUUACCCAUUCUUU